rnacentral:rRNA from 1 species
AUUGAACGCUGGCGGCAGGCUUAACACAUGCACGUCGAACGAGUGGAGGACGGGUCAGUAAUGCUUGGGAAUCUAGCUUAUGGAGGGGGAUAACUACGGAAAACUGUGGCUAAUACCGCGUACCAUAGGAUGAGCCCAAGUGGGAGUAGGUAGUUGGUGAGGUAAAGGCUCACCAAGCCGACGAUCUCUAGCUGGUCUGCGAGGAUGAUCAGCCACACGGGGACGGAUACCCGUCCCAGCCUCGUACGUGAGGCAGCAGUGGGGAAUAUUGCACAAUGGGCGCAAUCCGGAUGCAGCCAUGCCGGGUGUAUGAAGAAGGCCUUAGGGUUGUAAAGUACUUUCAGUCGGGAGGCGUUACCGACAGAAGAAGCACCGGCUAACUCCGUGCCAGCAGCCGCGGUAAUAC